rnacentral:rRNA from 1 species
GACGAACGCUGGCGGCGUGCUUAACACAUGCAAGUCGAACGAGAAUCUACUGAAAGAGUUUUCGGACAAUGGAAGUAGAGGAAAGUGGCGGACGGGUGAGUAACGCGUGAGGAACCUGCCUUGAAGAGGGGGACAACAGUUGGAAACGACUGCUAAUACCGCAUGAAGCAUAGGGGUCGCAUGAUUCUUAUGCCAAAGAUUUAUCGCUUCAAGAUGGCCUCGCGUCUGAUUAGCUGGUUGGCGGGGUAACGGCCCACCAAGGCGACGAUCAGUAGCCGGACUGAGAGGUUGAACGGCCACAUUGGGACUGAGAUACGGCCCAGACUCCUACGGGAGGCAGCAGUGGGGAAUAUUGGGCAAUGGGCGCAAGCCUGACCCAGCAACGCCGCGUGAAGGAAGAAGGCUUUCGGGUUGUAAACUUCCUUUAAGAGGGAAGAGCAGAAGACGGUACCUCUAGAAUAAGCCACGGCUAACUACGUG